AUUGAACGCUGGCGGCAGGCCUAACACAUGCAAGUAGAGCGAGCGGCGGACGGGUGAGUAAUGUCUGGGAAACUGCCUGAUGGAGGGGGAUAAAUAAUGGAAACGGUAGCUAAUACCGCAUCGCAUCAGCUGUGCCAAGAUGGGAUUAGCUAGUAGGGGGGGAACCGGCUCACCUAGGCGACGAUCCAUAGCUGGUCUGAGAGGAUGAACAGCCACAGUGUAAAGGAGACACGGUCCAGCAUUCUACGGGAGGCAGCGGUGGGGAAUAUUGCACAAUGGGCGCAAGCCGGUUGCGGCCAUGCGGCGGUUGUGAGUAGGGCCUUCGGGUUGUAAAGCACUUUCAGCGGGGAGGCGUUACCCGCAGAAGAAGCACCGGCUAACUCCGUGCCAGCAGCCGCGGUAAUUC
rnacentral:rRNA from 1 species